rnacentral:rRNA from 1 species
AACGAACGCUGGCGGCAUGCCUAACACAUGCAAGUCGAACGAGACCUUCGGGUCUAGUGGCGCACGGGUGCGUAACGCGUGGGAACCUGCCCUUAGGUUCGGAAUAACUCCCCGAAAGGGGUGCUAAUACCGGAUAAUGUCUUCGGACCAAAGAUUUAUCGCCUUUGGAUGGGCCCGCGUUGGAUUAGCUAGUUGGUAGGGUAAAAGCCUACCAAGGUGACGAUCCAUAGCUGGUCUGAGAGGAUGAUCAGCCACACUGGGACUGAGACACGGCCCAGACUCCUACGGGAGGCAGCAGUGGGGAAUAUUGGACAAUGGGCGAAAGCCUGACCCAGCAAUGCCGCGUGAGUGAUGAAGGCCUUAGGGUUGUAAAGCUCUUUUACCCGGGAUGAUAAUGACAGUACCGGGAGAAUAAGCUCCGGCUAACUCCGUG